UAAAUAUAUUUCUCCCCAGUUCUUUAC
rnacentral:piRNA from 1 species